UGGGGAAUUUUGGACAAUGGGGGAAACCCUGAUCCAGCCAUCCCGCGUGUGCGAUGAAGGCCUUCGGGUUGUAAAGCACUUUUGGCAGGAAAGAAACGUCAUGGGUUAAUACCCCGUGAAACUGACGGUACCUGCAGAAUAAGCACCGGCUAACUACGUGCCAGCAGCCGCGGUAAUACGUAGGGUGCAAGCGUUAAUCGGAAUUACUGGGCGUAAAGCGUGCGCAGGCGUUUCGGAAAGAAAGAUGUGAAAUCCCAGAGCUCAACUUUGGAACUGCAUUUUUAACUACCGGGCUAGAGUGUGUCAGAGGGAGGUGGAAUUCCGCGUGUAGCAGUGAAAUGCGUAGAUAUGCGGAGGAACACCGAUGGCGAAGGCAGCCUCCUGGGAUAACACUGACGCUCAUGCACGAAAGCGUGGGGAGCAAACAGG
rnacentral:rRNA from 1 species